rnacentral:rRNA from 1 species
UACGAAGGGUGCAAGCGUUACUCGGAAUUACUGGGCGUAAAGGGUGCGUAGGUGGUUUGUUAAGUCUGCUGUGAAAUCCCCGGGCUCAACCUGGGAAUGGCAGUGGAUACUGGCAAGCUAGAGUGCGGUAGAGGGUAGUGGAAUUCCCGGUGUAGCAGUGAAAUGCGUAGAGAUCGGGAGGAACACCAGUUGCGAAGGCGGCUAACCGGACCAGCACUGACACUGAAGCACGAAAGCGUGGGGAGCAAACAGG